rnacentral:rRNA from 1 species
GAUGAACGCUGGCGGCGUGCCUAAUACAUGCAAGUCGAACGCACAGACGAGGAGCUUGCUCCUGUGACAUUAGCGGCGAACGGGUGAGUAACACGUGGAUAACCUACCUAUGAGACUGGGAUAACCUCGGGAAACCGGAGCUAAUACUGGAUAAUAUAUUGAACUGCAUGGUUCUAUGGUGAAAGGCGGUUUUUCUGUUACUUAUGGAUGAAUCCGCGCCGCAUUAGCUAGUUGGUAAGGUAAUGGCUUACCAAGGAGACGAAGCGUAUCCGACGGGGUGGGGGGAUCGCCCGCACGGGAGCGUGGACAGGGACCCGACGCCUGCGAGAGGCAGCAGUAGGGAAUCGUCCGCAGUGGGCGAGAGCCUGACGGAGCAGCGCCGCGUGAGAGGUGGAGGUCUUCGGUUCGGAAAACUCUGUUAUUGGGUGAGAACAAAUGUGUAAGUAACUAUGGACGGCUUGACGGUACCUAAUCAGAAAGCCACGGCUAACUACGUG